CCUACGGGUGGCAGCAGUGGGGAAUAUUGGGCAAUGGAGGCAACUCUGACCCAGCAACGCCGCGUGAAUGAUGAAGGUCUUCGGAUUGUAAAGUUCUUUUCUAAGGGAAGAAGAACGUGACGGUACCUUAGGAAUAAGCCUCGGCUAACUACGUGCAAGCAGCAGCGGUAAUACGUAGGAGGCCAGCGUUAUCCGGAAUGAAUGGUCGUAAAGGGUGCGUAGGUGGUAUGACAAGCUAGUAGCGCAACUCCGGGGAUCAACGUCGGAAUUGCGACUAAAACGGUUGGACUUGAGUGCAGGGGGGGCAAGCGGAAUUCCUAGUGUAGCGGUGGAAUGCGUAGAUAUGAGGAGGAACACCAGUGGCGAAGGCGGAUUGCUAGACUGGAACUGACACUGAGGCACGAAAGCGUGGGGAGCAAACAGGAUUAGAUACCCUGGUAGUC
rnacentral:rRNA from 1 species